GCCAAAUUCUGGUAGAUACCAGCACUACACUCUCUACUUUAAACCCACUCACUCACGACCCUUCAGACAGGAUUCUGGGAAAUCUGGCGGAAGCCAAAGGAGGGCGAGAAUUCUUACCUGAGUCAGUUCCCCCGGAUUACUGUAGAGCCUGGUUGAGAAAGGAAGAUAAAAUGUCUCGUUGUCCUUUAUUGGUCAUCUAUCCUUUUCUCUCCCUCCAACACAUAAUGCCUUCUUGUUUGUCUCCAUUUGUCUCUGAGACUCCGGCUUGCCUUUCUGCCGCCCGAAGCACUCUGUCGUCGUUUUUGCAAAUUCAGGCAGCUCUGCUGUCUGCUGGGACACAAAAAUACAGCGGACAGAAAGGUGGGUUGCACCCCAUUUGCAGCUUGAUGUGGCCGGACAGAAAUGUGGGUUGCACCCGUUUAUGGACGCGUCUGUUAAAGUAACUUUCUAAACCCAAGUCGGAGCCGCUCCUGACGGGUGUCACGUCAGAAACAGAAACCUACGUGACUUCGCGCCCCUGUAAAUGCUCCACUUGACCAGAAAUGCGGUCUAUUCAGUUAGCCAAUCCCCAAACACCAAGCCAACGCUGGGCCUUCUCACCCGCACAAGGUGGUUCUCAGGCUCCAGCCAAUGAGAUAGUUUCAGUUUCCGUAUAUCUCUUCACCGUUUUUUUAUUCUUUACCCUAUAAGAGUUGUCUACCUUCUGCCCCAUUUUGCGGUUCUCCACAGGAGACUGCCUGCUUCAUGAAGUGGUAAACAAACUUUGUUUGUACCACCUAAUAUUAUAUAUUUUUUAAAUCCUCUGUUAACAGUUUUUGGUGACUAAUGGAUUCUAAAGCUGACUUCUUGACCUGUGAAGCAAUCAGACGCACAGGCAAGGCACCUGCUGAAUCCUUCGUGUUCACGCUCCUCUCGUCCUUCCCCAGGGCUGUGGGAAGGAGGGGGCUGAGCCCUGUUGCCACCAGAGAAGAUCAAUCAGGAUCCCUUGGGCAAGGACAGCCACAUACCCCAGCUCGCCAAAGACAAAGGAUGGAUUUCAAAGUGACAGAUAUGGCAAGUCACCAACAGAUCAAUCUACAUGUUUUUUAUAGGUUAAAAAAAAGCUUAAU
rnacentral:lncRNA from 1 species